rnacentral:rRNA from 1 species
AUUGAACGCUGGCGGCAUGCCUUACACAUGCAAGUCGAACGGCAACACGCCUAGGGGUGCCGACUAGUGGUGGACGGGUGCGUAAUGGUUCGGAAUGUAUCCAGAGCUUGUGGAUCACGGAGCGAAACCUGGGCCAAUAUCUCAUGAUAUCUGAUAUUGAAAGCGGGGGACCGCGCAGGAAUGUUUGGCCUUGCGCGUUUGUAUCGGCCGAUGUCGGAUUAGCUAGUUGGUGGGGUAAAGGCCCACCAAGGCGACGAUCCGUAGCUGGUCUGAGAGGAUGAUCAGCCACACUGGAACUGAGACACGGUCCAGACUCCUACGGGAGGCAGCAGUGGGGAAUUUUGGACAAUGGGCGCAAGCCUGAUCCAGCAAUGCCGCGUGCGUGAAGAAGGCCUUCGGGUUGUAAACCGCUUUUGGUAGGAAAGAAAAGCUGUCCGAUAAUACCCGGCGGUAAUGACGGUACCUAAAGAAUAAGCACCGGCUAACUACGUG